AGAGUUUGAUCCUGGCUCAGAUUGAACGUACUGGCGGCAGGCCUAACACAUGCAAGUCGAGCGGAUGAAGGGAGCUUGCUCCUGGAUUCAGCGGCGGACGGGUGAGUAAUGCCUAGGAAUCUGCCUGGUAGUGGGGGAUAACGUCCGGAAACGGGCGCUAAUACCGCAUACGUCCUGAGGGAGAAAGUGGGGGAUCUUCGGACCUCACGCUAUCAGAUGAGCCUAGGUCGGAUUAGCUAGUUGGUGGGGUAAAGGCCUACCAAGGCGACGAUCCGUAACUGGUCUGAGAGGAUGAUCAGUCACACUGGAACUGAGACACGGUCCAGACUCCUACGGGAGGCAGCAGUGGGGAAUAUUGGACAAUGGGCGAAAGCCUGAUCCAGCCAUGCCGCGUGUGUGAAGAAGGUCUUCGGAUUGUAAAGCACUUUAAGUUGGGAGGAAGGGCAGUAAGUUAAUACCUUGCUGUUUUGACGUUACCAACAGAAUAAGCACCGGCUAACUUCGUGCCAGCAGCCGCGGU
rnacentral:rRNA from 1 species